AGAGUUUGAUCCUGGCUCAGGACGAACGCUGGCGGCGUGCUUAACACAUGCAAGUCGAACGGGGUGUUUAUUUCGGUAAACACCAAGUGGCGAACGGGUGAGUAACGCGUAAGCAAUCUACCUUCAAGAUGGGGACAACACUUCGAAAGGGGUGCUAAUACCGAAUGAAUGUAAGAGUAUCGCAUGAGACACUUACUAAAGGAGGCCUCUGACAUAAGCUUCCGCUUGAAGAUGAGCUUGCGUCUGAUUAGCUAGUUGGUGAGGGUAAAGGCCCACCAAGGCGACGAUCAGUAGCCGGUCUGAGAGGAUGAACGGCCACAUUGGGACUGAGACACGGCCCAGACUCCUACGGGAGGCAGCAGUGGGGAAUCUUCCGCAAUGGGCGAAAGCCUGACAGAGCAACGCCGCGUGAACGAUGAAGGUCUUAGGAUCGUAAAGUUCUGUUGUUAGGGACGAAGGGUAAGAAUCAUAAUAAGGUUUUUAUUUGACGGUACCUAACGAGGAAGCCGCGGCUAACUACGUGCCAGCAGCCGCGGU
rnacentral:rRNA from 1 species